rnacentral:lncRNA from 1 species
AUUUUAUAUAUAUUAACAUAAUUUAUAUUUCUUACUUAUUGGAUUUCAAAACCGAAGCAAGAUUUCAAAACAUAAUAGUAAGCUUUCAUUGUGAUUUUAAAGAGAUUAUUUUAGAAACAAGAUUUCGAAAAUGUCUACAAGCUUUCGAUCAGGAUUCCGAUUCUGAAGCAGGAAGUGACCGUCGGAUGAAGUUGUCAUGCUAUCUAGCUAUGUAUACUAUAUAUGAUUUACCUAGUUAAACUUAAAGUUUUGACAACCCUAAAGUUAGAUAGUUUCAGGCCUCAAGCCGGUUUAACAAAAUAUUAAUUCCUUUCUUUCAUUAAUGUUUAC